rnacentral:rRNA from 1 species
UACGUAGGGUGCAAGCGUUGUCCGGAAUUAUUGGGCGUAAAGAGCGUGUAGGCGGUUUGGUAGGUCCGCUGUGAAAACUCGAGGCUCAACCUCGAGACGCCGGUGGAAACCAUCAGGCUAGAGUCCGGAAGAGGAGAGUGGAAUUCCUGGUGUAGCGGUGAAAUGCGCAGAUAUCAGGAAGAACACCAAUGGCGAAAGCAGCGCUCUGGGACGGUACUGACGCUGAGACGCGAAAGCGUGGGGAGCGAACAGG